GGGCACUUGGCACAGUUGGUAGCGCGCACGCUUCGCACUGAAGAUUGCGUGAGGUCGUGGGUUCAACUCCCACAGUGUCCA